rnacentral:pre_miRNA from 1 species
UUUAUACUCCCUCCGUCCCAAAAUUAUUGUCUUAAAUUUGUCUAAAUACGGAUGUCUCUAGUUACAUUUUAGUGUUAGAUACAUCCGUAUCUAAACAAAUGUAAGACCAGAAUUUUGGGACGAAGGGAAUACUAC